rnacentral:lncRNA from 1 species
UUAUUACUGUUGUUAAAACAUGUAUUUUGGUUGAUAUGAUUUGGCCGUUGCUUUGCUUAUUCAUUUGUUCAGCAUUCGGCUUUUGGUGCACCGAAUUAAUUAACUUUUUAAGAUAGUUUGAUUGGAUUAAGUUAGGUAAUUGGGAGAUUUUAGAAUUAAUUCUAGAAAAACUCUUUUCUCAAAACUAGUUCUAAUUCGCCUAGGUUAAUUAUUAAAGGUUUCGAAAAUAAUUUUAAUCUCUGUGGAUCGAAUCAUAAAUAUUAAAACGGUGAUCGUGCG